rnacentral:rRNA from 1 species
UACAGAGGUCCCGAGCGUUGUUCGGAUUCACUGGGCGUAAAGGGUGCGUAGGUGGUGAGGUAAGUCGGAUGUGAAAUCUCCGAGCUCAACUCGGAAAUGGCAUUGGAAACUACCUUGCUCGAGGGUUGGAGGGGGGACUGGAAUGCUUGGUGUAGCAGUGAAAUGCGUAGAUAUCAAGAGGAACACCAGUGGCGAAGGCGAGUCCCUGGACAACACCUGACACUGAGGCACGAAAGCUAGGGGAGCAAACAGG